rnacentral:rRNA from 1 species
AAGCGCUUGCAGCCAGACUUGCCUGUAGUUGCUCAUCCGGGCUCUUGCCCGGUGCACUCUUCUGCUGGCAGGCCAGCAUCAGUUUGGGCGGCCGGAUAAAGGCUCUGGGAAUGUGGCUCUCUCCGGGGAGUGUUAUAGCCCAGGGUGUCAUGCGGCCAGUCUGGACUGAGGUCCGCGCAUCUGCUAGGAUGCUGGCGUAAUGGCUGUAAGCGG